UACAGAGGGGCAAGCGUUGUUCGGAAUUACUGGGCGUAAAGGGCGCGUAGGCGGCCUUCUAAGUCAGACGUGAAAUCCCUCGGCUCAACCGGGGAACUGCGUCUGAUACUGAAAGGCUUGAAUCCGGGAGAGGAAUGCGGAAUUCCAGGUGUAGCGGUGAAAUGCGUAGAUAUCUGGAGGAACACCGGUGGCGAAGGCGGCAUUCUGGACCGGCAUUGACGCUGAGGCGCGAAAGCCAGGGGAGCAAACGGG
rnacentral:rRNA from 1 species